GCUCAGGUAGCUCAAUGGUUAGAGCAACGGUCUUAUCAACCGGAGGUUGUGGGUUCGAGUCCCAUCCUGUGUA
rfam:Tetrahymena thermophila SB210 genomic scaffold scf_8254407, whole genome shotgun sequence.